rnacentral:lncRNA from 1 species
UUCGUUAUGUUAAUUUAUUCUAUAACAGUAAGGUUCCCUCUAAGAUUAAUGUGCUUAUACAAGUAGCAACUCUUAGUAGGUUUAAUACCCAUGACUUACUGCAAAAGAAUUAACCAAAUCGAGCUAUCUCUCCGAACAUUUGCUUUAUGUGUUGACAGAGUGAGAGACACAUGGUCACCUUUUUCGGCAUUGUGAUAUGGCAUAGAGUUUGAGGUCAACGUUGUUUGGCCUUUUUGGAAUCUAUUGAAUUGAACCCCUUUGGGUGAAUUCUUUGUUUACUAU